rnacentral:rRNA from 1 species
UUUCGUAGGGUGAACCUGCGGAAGGAUCAUUACAGAGCUCAUGCCCGAAAGGGUAGACCUCCCACCCCUGCGUAUUCAUACCCUGUUGCUUUGGCGGUGCAUGCCCGCCAGAGGACCCUGAAACUCUGAAUGUUAGUGUCGUCUGAGUCCUAUAAUAAUAGUUAAAACUUUCAACAACGGAUCUCUUGGUUCUGGCAUCGAUGAAGAACGCAGCGAAAUGCGAUAAGUAAUGUGAAUUGCAGAAUUCAGUGAAUCAUCGAAUCUUUGAACGCACAUUGCGCCCCUUGGUAUUCCGGGGGGCAUGCCUGUUCGAGCGUCAUUUUCACCACUCAAGCUCUGCUUGGUAUUGGGCCCCGCUGGCAACGGCAGGCCUUAAAGACAGUGGCGGUGCCCUGAGGCCCUGAGCGUAGUACAUCUCUCGCUACAGGUCCCUGAGGGUCACUGGCCAGCAACCCCAAUUUUUUCGAAGGUUGACCUCGGAUCAGGUAGGGAUACCCGCUGAACUUAAGCAUAUCAAUAAGCGGAGG